UACGAAGGGUGCAAGCGUUACUCGGAAUCACUGGGCGUAAAGCGUGCGUAGGCGGUUUCUUAAGUCUGUCGUGAAAGCCCUGGGCUCAACCUGGGAAUGGCGAUGGAUACUGGGAGGCUAGAGUGUGAUAGAGGAUGGUGGAAUUCCCGGUGUAGCGGUGAAAUGUGUAGAGAUCGGGAGGAACACCGGUGGCGAAGGCGGGUCUCUGGGCAAUUCCUGACGCUGAGGCGCGAAAGCGUGGGGAGCAAACGGG
rnacentral:rRNA from 1 species